GAUGAACGCUGGCGGCGUGCCUAAUACAUGCAAGUCGAGCGACCAGACGAGGAUCUUGCUCCUCUGACGUUAGCGGCGGACGGGUGAGUAACACGUGCAUAACCUACCUAUAAGACUGGGACAACUUCGGGCAACCGGAGCUAAUAUCCGAUAAUAUAUUGAACCGCAUGGUUCAAUAGUGAAAGACGGUUUUGCUGUCACUUAUAGAUGGAUCCGCGCUGCAUUAGCUAGUUGGUAAGGUAACGGCUUACCAAGGCAACGAUGCGUAGCCGACCUGAGAGGGUGAGCGACCACACUAGGAAAAGGACACCGUCCAGACUCCUACGGGAGGCAGGAGUAGGGAAUCUUCCGAAAUGGGGGAAAGCCUGGCGGCGGAACGCCGCGUGAGUGAAGAAGGUCUUCGGAUCGGAAAACUGUUUUAUUAGGGGAAAACAAAUGUUUGACUAAUUAUGCGCGGCGUGACGGGACCCGAUAAAAAAGCCACGGCUAACUACCGG
rnacentral:rRNA from 1 species